rnacentral:rRNA from 1 species
UGCAAGUCGAGGGGCAUCAGGAUGUAGCAAUACAUUGCUGGCGACCGGCGCACGGGUGAGUAACACGUAUCCAACCUGCCGAUAACUCGGGGAUAGCCUUUCGAAAGAAAGAUUAAUAUCCGAUAGUAUAUUAAAACCGCAUGGUAGAACUAUUAAAGAAUUUCGGUCAUCGAUGGGGAUGCGUUCCAUUAGGUUGUUGGCGGGGUAACGGCCCACCAAGCCUUCGAUGGAUAGGGGUUCUGAGAGGAAGGUCCCCACAUUGGAACUGAGACACGGUCCAAACUCC